rfam:Dipodomys ordii contig_34706, whole genome shotgun sequence.
AUCUUCUUCCAGUUCAUAAGCAUGAUGAGUGGGUUCUCACACGCUUGGAUGACACGUGCCUCCCUCAAACCUUGUUGCCACAUGGGCAUAUUACCCAUCUGAUG